AGGUGGAAAGUGAGGUCCAACAAAAGAAAAUCUUUUUUUUCUUUUUGUUUCUUUCUUCUUUUCUUUUUGGACGUGUACAGUAAAUUAAUGUUAUUUA
rnacentral:ribozyme from 13 species